GGGACAGAAGGGGCGGAGCUACACGGACCAGGCUGCUGUAGUGUAGGGAGACUGGCUUAGGUCCCCAUCGCAGUGGACAAUGAGCAAAAUUAUCCGUCCACAGUUUUAAUGUAAAGUAGACAACAAUGAAGGGAUUAAAGAGAGAGCAGCUUUGAUUGAUUGAAUGCUGAACGUUCAGGCACAGAAAUGAAUAUUAUAAUUUUUUUUUCAUCUUGAAGAUGGUUAUUCAAAGAGGCACAAAAAAUCCAUGUUUCUAAAAUCUGGCCAUCCAUUCAAGAACUGCUGCUUGUACAGUACAGUAAGCCAUUUCUAUUGACCCAGUAUCCCAGGCAGCAAGGACAUUUGUUUUCACCAUGAAGGACAUUGGAAGCUGAUAAAAUGUAGCUUAGGUGGUGUAAUGUAAGUAUGCAGCACAUAGCAAGGGGUCACUGGCUACAUAGUUACAAUAAUAGGCUAUAACGUGGAAGGAACACAGUGUUUCACAGCCAUUAUUGUUCUGUUUACUGAUUAUCACGUUUAUGACUGUUUUCUCUGCUAUAGCCUUGCAAUAGAAUCUGUCAUAUGACUGACCAGACAAAUGGUAAACUUAGUUGUAUAAAACAAAGCAAGCGCAAUCGAUCUAUAACUGUCGCCCAUUUUGAACUGGGCCGCUACUAUACUGGGGGCAUGGCCUAAUCUGAGGAGACAUAUGGGUAUAUGCAAUUGCGGUCGAAUUGCCGCAAAUGUCGAAAAACGGGGCAUUUUCGGCACAAAAUUUUUUUUGACAAUGCAAUACAGUACUUUUCAACAAAAAAAACGGCCGUUUCAGAUUCGACUUUUUGAAAUUCGACAGUUGUCAAAUUCGACAUGUCUGCAAUGGUAAAAAUGCGGCUUUUCGACAAAAGUAUAUUCAAUUGAAGAAUGUCGAUUCGACAACAGUGCUUUUUGACAGUAAUUUCGUCAAUUUCAGUCCGCCUCAUUUUGGUGGCAGAAUCUAAUAUUUUUUUUUAAAAACGUGUUUUUUUGUGUGUUUUUUUGUUGCUAAUAGCAUAUCUAUUUAUAUCAGAAGGGAUUAUCUACUUGGUUUGUC